CCACCCGUAGCUCAGCUGGAUAGAGUACACGCCUCCGAAGCGUGUGGUCACAGGUUCAAUUCCUGUCGGGUGGGCCA
rnacentral:tRNA from 6 species